UAGGUGUGUUCUACUAUUCCAUUAUGUG
rnacentral:sRNA from 1 species